CACGUAGGGUGCGAGCGUUGUCCGGAAUUAUUGGGCGUAAAGAGCUCGUAGGCGGUGUGUCGCGUCGGCCGUGAAAACCUGCAGCUUAACUGUGGGCGUGCGGUCGAUACGGGCAUCACUGGAGUUCGGCAGGGGAGACUGGAAUUCCUGGUGUAGCGGUGAAAUGCGCAGAUAUCAGGAGGAACACCGGUGGCGAAGGCGGGUCUCUGGGCAGUAACUGACGCUGAGAAGCGAAAGCGUGGGGAGCGAACAGG
rnacentral:rRNA from 1 species